rnacentral:lncRNA from 1 species
UGGUGCUGAGGUCUGGCGCUGCGGUGCCAGACAAAGCUUUAAGUGCCACGCCGCAGUGCUGGUACAGUGUUAUGGCCUACUACAGAGUGGAGCCGCAACGCCAAUCAUAUGAAAGAGUCUCGCACCGCAGCGUCGAGACCGAAACUUGGGUAAUAUAUGUCGAUUUCCACUAACACUAAUAAUCCCAACACAAUGGAACUAUCAAAUUCAUCUUUAAUCAACACGAACUUAUUCAUCAUUAAUAUUAUAACUCACAAUAUUUAACAACCAGGUCGUUCCCAGGAAAGAAGGGGCUUUCCGAUAAGGAUUUCUCCUUAUUGGCGCGCAAUUAGGUGACCAAACCUCUCCUUGAUAGAACUUCUAGACAUUGUAAAUAUUGCAAUUUAAUAAUAUGAAUAACUUUGUCGUCUCAAUUAUUGAUUUAAUAAUAUAACAUAUUAUAGAGAUGAUACUGUGACAAUAAUUGAAUUAAUAAUAUGAGAGAUAUGAUGCAGCAAUUACUGUAGCAAUAAUUGAGUAUAACUAAGUGACUUCUCACGUAAGCAUCAAUAAUCAAUACUUUGUACUACUAGGCAACCACGCGUAUUACUGUAAUUUUACUACCGGGUAGUUCAACAGUUUUAACGGUAACACUUUCGUCGUUUAUAAAAUGAUAAUUAUGUCAUUUUCUAACUACGACAAUACUUCCGUUAUGGGUCCACCAAUGAUUGUGCCGUCGUACGGAUAUUUCCCGAAAAAAAGAAUAUUUCCCGACCAAACGAAUAUUAUAUAACAACUUGCUUACUUUGGAAAAUUUAUAAAUAUUACCCACAACUAUAACAUUAUAUGAAAUCCACACCAUAAUAUUCUAAAAAAUAUUUCGAGAAAUUUAAAUCAUUAUUCAUAAAAUUUGGGGUCUCACACGCAGCACCAAUCAUAUGAAGGAGUCUCGCGCCGCAGCGCCGAGAUUGGAACUUGGGUACUGUAAACUGGCACCGCAGUGCUAGUAUUGUAUAGGAAGGCCACGCCGCGGCGCCGAGGCAGGGUCUUUAUUAGACAACUUAGGUUUGAACUUCAAAUGUUCAGAGACCUAUAUGAGUUAAGUUUACACACUUAAUGAAUGUACUAAAACUAUUCAUAUACUAUAAAUACUAAGGUAUAUGGUAAUGAAACAUAUGAAUUGAAUGCAUGUUAUUAACGUAUGAACAAAGAAUACAAAGUGUUAUUAAUGAACCAAAAUCGGUAAACAACAUUGGUACUUCAUCAAUGAUGAUAGAGUCUGGUUAAUAACGUAAGUUUGUUAAUAAGCUGGGAUGAGGGGUAAUAAGUCGUAUUAACUUUAUUAAUGAAAUAAAGUUAACUAAGACAUAGAAGAGAAAGAAGUUGGUAGAAACAAUGUGAGUAAUUGUUUGGUAGCUAAUUACAGUGUGCUGUGUGAAUAUAUCAUGUAGAUUCUGUAAAGGUUGUGGUCAGUCGAUUAAGUUAUUUGAAGACGCUGAAAGGCAAGUUUUCUUAACACUUGUCUAACUUUCAAGUUAGUCAAGUUUUAUGUGAUUCAUUGUACUGAAUUGCAUAACUGGUUUUAAAGAAAGGGUCAAUGCCAGUUUUAACUCGGCUAGACUACUCGUAAGAUAUAGAUUGAUUGUAUAUAUAUCUUUCUAUAUAGAAAUGUUAACACUAUCCUAUGCCAAGUAAUUGCUAUGGAUUUGAAG